GCGGCAAACCGGCACCGUGCCACGUGCUCCAUAGCCCCGCGGAGUGCCAGCCCUUGGCACCGUGGGGGUGGCACGGCGCGGGGGUCCCCGACCCUGCCCAGCCCCGCCGCGGCCCUGGCCCCCUCCCCAGCAUGUUUAGAAGCCGGGCGCCACGCGGGCGCCGCGCUGUGGAGCCUCUUCUCCCUCUGCCUUGCAGGACGAGAGCCCGUCAGCAUGCUCGGGAUCGUCAUGGGCGUCGGGCUGGCCCUGCUGGUCCUCAUCCUUUUUGCCUACGCUUUUGUCCGGUGCUACCAGAGCGGACAGUGCUGGCACCGGCCCAACUUCGUCUUCAACCUGUACCACAUCCGCGGGCUGAGGGCGGUGGAAGUGGAGCUGGCGCCGCCGUUCACGGUCAGCGGCUCCCUGAGCGAGGCGAGGAGCGGCUACGUGCGCUUCCACGAGCAGGGGCUGUGACGGGCGAGCCGGGCGCAGGCUUGGGGCCCCCAGCCGCAGCGCUCUCCGUUCCCAGCCGGAAGAGGAGCAACUUCCCUGUGCCGCCGAGGGGGUCUCCCUCCCUGGGCCUCUGGCCUCUCCGUGGCAUGAGAGCUGGCAGCACCACAAACUUGCGCUGUUUCGGGGAGCUGCGGGGUCCCCGGCGGAGGCUGACACRGGGAAUUCCCGUGGGAGCACCGUGCCCCGGUGCCCGGAGGGGUGCAGGGGACUUAGGCAUUGCUCUGCCCUUCCCGGGCUGGGCAGCGCAGCGGCGCUUGCUCCGUGCCCACGGUGCCGCUGCAGGCUGCCCACCGCGGAGGGGACGCCGGGGCYGUCCUGCUGCCCGGGACCCUCGCGUGGACACCAGCGCUCGGCCUCGGCCAAGAGCGGCGCCYGGCUCCGGACCCUGCCUGCGCUCUCCAUCCUGGCUUUUCUUGGGGAUGUUUUCCUGUGCUGGCUCCCUGCUCACCGCUGGUGGCCAUGGAAAGAGCAACCAAAACCAGCCACGGGGGAAUUCCUCUAGUCUCAGUUCUUUAAAAAACAACCCCCGAAUACGCUGGAUUUGUACUGAAAGCAAACAGUGCAGUUUUUGUUUUGCCG
rnacentral:lncRNA from 1 species